GUCUUCGGACGCCGGGCAAACGGCUCAGUAACACGUAGGUAAUCUACCCUCAGGACUGAGAUAACCCCGGGAAACUGGGGCUAAUACCAGAUAGAUAAAAGAUACUGGAAUGUUCUUUUAUCCAAAGCUUUUGCGCCUGAGGAUGGGCCUGCGUCCGAUUAGGUUGUUGGUGGGGUAAUGGCCCACCAAGCCUACGAUCGGUACGGGCAGUGGGAGCUGAAGCCCGGAGUUGGGGACUGAGACAAGGCCCCAGGCCCUACGGGGCGCAGCAGGCGCGAAACCUCUGCAAUGCGGGAAACCGUGACAGGGGGAUCCCAAGUGCUCAUGCAUUGCAUGGGCUGUUCUUUGGUCUAAGUAACCAGAGGAGUAAGGGCUGGGCAAGACCGGUGCCAGCCGCCGCGGUAAUACCGGCAGCUCAAGUGGUAGCCGCGAUUAUUGGGCCUAAAACGUUCGUAGCCGGAUAAGUAAGUCUUUGGUUAAAUCCUGCGACUUAACCGUGGGAAAUCUAGAGAUACUGCUUGUCUUGAGACCGGGAGAGGUUGGAGGUACUCCCAGGGUAGGGGUGAAAUCCUGUAAUCCUAGGGGGACCACCUGUGGCGAAGGCGUCCAACUGGAACGGGUCUGACGGUGAGGGACGAAACCUAGGGGAGCGAGCCGGAUUAGAUACCCGGGUAGUCCUAGGCGUAAAUGAUGCGAGUUAAGUGUGGGGGCAUCUACGAGAUGGCCCUGUGCUGUAGGGUAGCCGUUAAACUCGCUGCCUGGGGAGU
rnacentral:rRNA from 1 species